GUCGCUUGUUUAUCAAAAACAUGUCUUUUUGAAUUUAAUAAAAAGUCUAAUCUGCCCGCUGAAUUUUUUUGAAGGGCCGCAGUAAUUUGACUGUGCAAAGGUAGCAUAAUCAUUUGUCUCUUAAAUGGAGGCUAGUAUGAAUGAUUGGACGAGGUAUAAACUGUCUCAUUAUUAGAAUAAUAAAAAUUUAACUUUUUAGUCAAAAGGCUAAAAUAAUAUUGGAGGACGAGAAGACCCUAUAGAUCUUUAUAUUAGUUAAUAUUUAUUAUUAUGGAAGAAUAAUUUAAUAGUUAUUAUUAUAAUAUUUUGUUGGGGUGACAAGAAAAUUUAAUAAACUUUUCUUUUAUAAAAACAUAGAUUAAUGGAUAUAUGAUCCUUUAUUAUUGAUUAUAAGAAUAAGUUACCUUAGGGAUAACAGCGUUAUUUUGUUGGAGAGUUCAUAUUGAUAACAAAGAUUGCGACCUCGAUGUUGAAUUAAAGAAACUUUAAAGUGCAGAAGCUUUAAGAUGUAGGUCUGUUCGACCUUUAAAUCUUUACAUGAUCUGAGUUCAAACCGGAC
rnacentral:rRNA from 1 species